UGCCCUAAGCAGCCGAGGAGGGACCCUGGCCGCCCGGCUCGCAGAUGCGAAUAAGGUAUAGAGUCCUAAAUAAAAAUGUGCCUGAUCCAAAUAGGAAGCAAUAUGCAGGAUAACUUAAAGAAAAAAAGAAAAAGUGAACUCACUGUAUUGCUGGUCACUUCCAUGUGGGAAUAAACCGUUCAACAUGGAGUAGUAUAGGUACCUUUUUAAUGCUGAAAUGGGCAUGCUAAUUGUGAACUAUGCGGUCAGAAGCUCCUUCUAAAAUAUUCAGUAACUUAUUUACUGGAAUUUAACAAGCUGUGUACUUCAAAGCUUCUUUCACCUCUAAUUAAGUGCAUAAACUCUGUGAAUCGUAUUGGCAACUUGAGAUUUGGCACAGCAGCAGCAGUGCUGAAGCAGCCCCCACCGCUAGGAAAGGUACAAACACAGGCAAGUGACCUGUGAUGGGCUGAGAGACCUCGCUUACCAGGAUUUGCUCACGGUUAUGCUUCUGGCAACUGACAUUUCCAUUUUACUCAAAGCUUCUACCUUUGUGUCAUCAGACAAAGCCCCAUGAGUGGUGGCAGAGCAAACUGUAGCCUUCAUUCUCAAGUUUGAAGAGGAAAAGUUAUUUACAUGCCUAAAUCGCAGAACAUGAUGUUCAAAGGUCACUUUCUGUUACUCAUUGUUAUAAACCACUAAGUUUUCCAAAAGCUCUAUAAGGAAAAGGCACAUAGUUUGGGCAGAAACAUGUAAUUGGUUGUUUUCUUCUUUUAUUUUCUUUUCUUAUUGUAUGAUCUGAUUUUUGUACUACCAGAGGAAUGUCGAAGAUGAGAUGUUUCUGUCGUUCCGUACCAUGAACAAUUGCUUAAAGGGACCAUCAGAGACUGCAAGACAAAUCUAUGACCCUCCUUAAGAUUUUUAUGUUCUGAAGAGGAAUGACUUUUAAUUGGUUAGGAUUUUAGAGUUUAUGAUGUAAGGAAAAGUACUGAUUCCUGUAAUGACUGAUCCUUUACUGUUUUUAUUAGACUUUCAACUGAGCAUUUCUUAAACUUUCUUCUUAUGAAUUUAGACAAAUAUUUAAUUGUUUUAUUGCUGUAAUGCCAUUUCCCCCCACCCCAUUUUAGACAUAUUUUCCUGAAUGUGAGCCUGAAUUUAGUGACAAGCAGUCUGAUUUCCAGAAAUGUAUUGUUAUCAGUAAAAGUACUCCAUACCAAAAUGUGUGAAUGGAGAUGUUAAGAGAAAGCACAAAUAAUGCCUUUAUUCAUUACGAGAUGAAGCCCUGAGAAGUCAAGGUUAUUUAAUGGAAAUGAAUAAAUGCAGCUUGAAAUAUCUUUAUUUUCCAAACUGCAAGAGCAACUCAAACAAUAAGGAUAGCAUAUAAAGAAACAAACAACAAAGUCAGUUGAUUUCCUUAAAAAAUAUUUGGAACUUAAAAAAAAAAAAGAGGGAAAGCCGUCAUUUGACAUGGUGAUUAGGGUAGACUGAAGGACUCGGCUCAGAGGCUGCUUAUGCUGCUAUUGCACAGCAAAACUGUGUAGGGCAUUUAAUCUCUCUUAGUUUUCCUGUUUGUAAGUAACAAGCUGAUAAUGCUCACUUCAGUCUAGUGUUGUGCAAUAUUCAGAUGUUUCACAAUACAAUAGAAAAGUGUGUCACAGUGUACUUAAAAGUUGCCUGUUAAACUUCAUGUUUUUGAGAUGAAAGAAAAUUUCUGCUAUGCAUCUUGAAAGAGCUCAUUCCUUAAGGUGGUGGUGGCAGCUUUAAGCUUUUCUGAGAUAUAUUUUAUUUUUGUUUGUUUUUUUAACUGCUUAAUGGGCUAAUUUUUGGUAUCAUCUCUGGAAUAUGUAUGUCUCCUAUGACUGAAAGGAAGGAUGGUUGAUGCAAAUGAAAAAAGUCUCUUUUAGGAGAUCCUGUGAUCAGUAGAAUUCUGUCACCAUCACAAAAACAUACUUAGCAUGGCAUAUAUUUCUCAUUUCAGCUAAUAAACCUAACAUCUUUGUCU
rnacentral:lncRNA from 7 species